UGGGGAAUAUUGCACAAUGGGCGAAAGCCUGAUGCAGCGACGCCGCGUGAGUGAAGAAGGCCUUCGGGUCGUAAAACUCUGUCCUAAGGGACGAUAAUGACGGUACCUUAGGAGGAAGCCCCGGCUAACUACGUGCCAGCAGCCGCGGUAAUACGUAGGGGGCGAGCGUUGUCCGGAAUUACUGGGCGUAAAGGGUGCGUAGGCGGCUCAUUAAGUCAGAUGUGAAAGGCUACGGCUCAACCGUAGUAAGCAUUUGAAACUGAUGAGCUUGAGUUAAGGAGAGGAAAGUGGAAUUCCUAGUGUAGCGGUGAAAUGCGUAGAUAUUAGGAGGAAUACCAGUGGCGAAGGCGACUUUCUGGCCUUUAACUGACGCUGAGGCACGAAAGCGUGGGGAGCAAACAGG
rnacentral:rRNA from 1 species